rnacentral:lncRNA from 1 species
AAUCAUCCAGUUUAUUGCAAAACGUAUGAUUCAUCUUUAUGAAAACACUCAUGGCUGUGUGUAGAUUUAGAAUCUCUUAUCAAUCUCAAAUUGUUCCUGCUUUGUGGUGCUGCAGGAGCAGGCGUGUCAUCUCAAAAUGAUGAUGAAGGCUCAUGCGAUGAUUCUGAAGACGGGCUUCCACCUCUUGAAAAGAAUUUAAAUCAUCUUAACUUGGAGGAAAGCGAUUCUGAAGACGGACUUCCACCUCUUGAAAAGAAUUUAAAUCAUCUGAACUUGGAGAAAGGGGAUGAAGAAAGUGAGUAAAAUGGCCG